rnacentral:rRNA from 1 species
GAUGAACGCUGGCGGCGUGCCUAACACAUGCAAGUCGAACGGAGUUAUGAUGUGAGCGGGAAGUGCUUGCACUAAACAAUCUUUUCAUAACUUAGUGGCGGACGGGUGAGUAACGCGUGGGUAACCUGCCCUGUACUGGGGGACAACAGUUGGAAACGACUGCUAAUACCGCAUAAGCGCACGGGAUCGCAUGAUCCUGUGUGAAAAACUCCGGUGGUACAGGAUGGACCCGCGUCUGAUUAGCUGGUUGGUGAGGUAACGGCCCACCAAGGCAACGAUCAGUAGCCGGCCUGAGAGGGUGAACGGCCACAUUGGGACUGAGACACGGCCCAAACUCCUACGGGAGGCAGCAGUGGGGAAUAUUGCACAAUGGGGGAAACCCUGAUGCAGCGACGCCGCGUGAGUGAAGAAGUAUUUCGGUAUGUAAAGCUCUAUCAGCAGGGAAGAAAAUGACGGUACCUGACUAAGAAGCCCCGGCUAAACUACGGUGCCAGCAG